rnacentral:rRNA from 1 species
GACGAACGCUGGCGGCGUGCUUAACACAUGCAAGUCGAACGGAAAGGCCCUGCGUUUGUGGGGUGCUCGAGUGGCGAACGGGUGAGUAACACGUGAGUAACCUGCCCUUGACUUUGGGAUAACUUCAGGAAACUGGGGCUAAUACCGGAUAGGAGCUCCUGCUGCAUGGUGGGGGUUGGAAAGUUUCGGCGGUUGGGGAUGGACUCGCGGCUUAUUAGCUUGUUGGUGGGGUAGUGGCUUACCAAGGCUUUGACGGGUAGCCGGCCUGAGAGGGUGAACGGGCACCAUGGGACUGGGAGACGGGCCAGAGUCCUACGGGGGGCAGGAGGGGGGAAUAUUGCCCAACGGGGCGAAGCCUGAUUGAGGAACCUCCGGUGCGGGAAGACGGCCUUUGGGGUGUAAACCGCUUUCGCCUGUGACGAAGCGUGAGUGACGGUAAUGGGUAAAGAAGCACCGGCUAACUACGUG